UUCAGGCUGUGACAAGAAAGAAGUUUGAAUAUGCUGAAGACUUCAGGAAAUCUCUAGGAAAUGGUGUCCUGUUGUGCGAAUUAUUGAAUGGUUUGAAGGCAGGCAGUGUGAAGAGAAUUAACAAACUUCCUGGGCCUAUUGCCGGACUGGACAACAUAAAUGUGUUCCUAAUUGCAUGUGAGAAGAACUUUGGCCUGAAUAAGACUCAAUUAUUUGACCCCAAUGACCUUGAGGACUUGACCAACAGAGCCAUUUCUGAUGAGU